rnacentral:rRNA from 1 species
GACCUGCUCACUGAUAAUAUUAUUAAAGAGCCGCGGUAUAUUGACCGUGCAAAGGUAGCAUAAUCAUUAGGGGUUUAAUUGGAACCUGGUAUGAAGGGUUGGACAAAGGAAAAACUGUCUUUCUGAUAUAAGUUGAAAUUUACUUUUAAGUGAAAAGGCUUAAAUUAAUCAAAGGGACGAUAAGACCCUAUAAAGCUUUAUAAAUAAUUUAAAUUUAAUUGAUUUAUUAAUUAAAGGUUGAAUUUAACUAUUUUAUUUUGUUGGGGUGAUGUGAGUAUAAGUUAUAUUAACUGCUUAAAAGAAAUUCUAUCAUAAAAGAGUCUAUAGUGUAGAUGAUCCUUUAUAAAGAUUAAAAGACUAAGUUACUUUAGGGGUAACAGCGUUAUUUCUUUUGAGAGUUCAUAUCGAAAAAGAAGAUUGCGACCUCGAUGUUGAAUUAAAAUGUCUAUAUAAUGCAGUCGUUAUAAGAGAGG